GUUCAACAUCUCUGAUUUGCUUAAAUUAGUAAAUGGAAGCAUGUUGACCAAGUCAGGAAGCGGUCAAUUUAGAUAUAUGUUGCAAUCGUCCUGCAUACCACUACUUCCCGUACAUGUAAAGGGACCUGCUUCAGUUCUUGCCUAUAUCACCAGAAACCCUGACUUAAGAAUUGAAACUGUGUUUGUAUCCAGAAGAUCUAUCAAGUUGCUUUCUGAAAAAUGUUAUACAAGGCAUAUCUACAGAAAGUGGAGCUCGUACAAUGAUUUUCUGAGCCAGAAGAUAGCAUUGCUGGAAAAGGUUCUAAGGAGGUUUCUUGGUGGAA
rnacentral:misc_RNA from 1 species